rnacentral:rRNA from 1 species
ACUCGAGUGGCGAACGGGUGAGUAACACGUGGGUGAUCUGCCCUGCACUUCGGGAUAAGCUUGGGAAACUGGGUCUAAUACCGGAUAGGAGCCAUCUUUAGUGUGGUGGUUGGAAAGUUUUUCGGUGUAGGAUGAGCUCGCGGCCUAUCAGCUUGUUGGUGGGGUAAUGGCCUACCAAGGCGGCGACGGGUAGCCGGCCUGAGGGGGUGGACGGCCACAUUGGGACUGAGAUACGGCCCAG